rnacentral:rRNA from 1 species
AGCGAACGCUGGCGGCAGGCCUAACACAUGCAAGUCGAACGGAUCCUUCGGGAUUAGUGGCGGACGGGUGAGUAACACGUGGGAACGUGCCCUUUGGUUCGGAACAACUCAGGGAAACUUGAGCUAAUACCGGAUGUGCCCUUCGGGGGAAAGAUUUAUCGCCAUUGAGCGGCCCGCGUCUGAUUAGCUAGUUGGUGAGGUAAAGGCUCACCAAGGCGACGAUCAGUAGCUGGUCUGAGAGGAUGAUCAGCCACAUUGGGACUGAGACACGGCCCAAACUCCUACGGGAGGCAGCAGUGGGGAAUCUUGCGCAAUGGGCGAAAGCCUGACGCAGCCAUGCCGCGUGAAUGAUGAAGGUCUUAGGAUUGUAAAAUUCUUUCACCGGGGACGAUAAUGACGGUACCCGGAGAAGAAGCCCCGGCUAACGUCGUGCCAGCCGCCGCCGUAAAAC